AUGCGUGCUGCGGCCCGACAGGCAGGAGGCGGGAAGCGGCGGAGGGGUGGCUUUACCAGAUGGAGGAGGAAAGUGGCUGAACAAAGUUAGGAGCAAUGCUGAAGAUGUGACGGCAGCCCAACCUGUUAGUGGUACGGAGCCAGGAUCACCUCUCGCCUAGGCUUCCUGCCCUGCAAACAGCAGGACCUCACAGAUAUCAAGCAAACAUGAUCAGCCCAAUGUGCCAAGGCAGGGUGUGCAUGCUUGCCCAUGGCAGCCAACAGCAGCUCUGCUUCAUUACAGAGAUCUGCCUGCGAUGAUGGGGCAGCUAACAUGCAAGUCCUGCCCUCUGUCCUGCCAGCAGUUGAGCUAGAAUUUAAAAAUACUGAGUUUUAUGGGUUAUGUUUUUGGGUUUUUUAAGUGUUGCUGUAAUUUGGGCGGUUCUGUAAACAGGCCUCUAGCUCUGGGUGGGGUCACAAAGGAAGCCAGACUGAAGCCAGUGGAAUUUUUUACAUUCAUGAAACUUUUGGUAACAUGAAGAGAUUAGGACAGAAGGUGGAGGCAGAUGAGGAGUGAAAACAAAUCUAGGGCCAGGGUUUAUGGCUGGGGUGAGGACUUAGGCAGAAGGCAUGGUGUCCUCAGCCUCCGCAUUCUUCUCUUGCCAGGAGGCAGCUGCAGAACCCGCCAGCAAGCAGUGAUUCACUUCUCUCUUCAUUAGAGAAAGCUUCAGAUGAAUGAUAACGUUUCUGGCUGUUCUGAAUGGGAAGUGAUGAUCUGCAGAGCAAAAUGAUUUUGAUAGAAUCAUAGAACGGCCUGGGUUGAAAAGGACCGCAAUGAUCAUCAAGUUUCAACCAGGGUUGCCAACCACUAGACCAGGCUGACCCAAAACCAGCUGAGCUGGUCUAAUCAUUCACCAGCUCUGAGAAGCAGAAAUGUUGCUCGUUUGCCUCUCGUGUGUAGAUUUUC
rnacentral:lncRNA from 1 species